rnacentral:tmRNA from 1 species
GGGGCUGAAAGGAAUUCUACAUUUUGAUAUAAUUAUUGCAUUAGAUUUAAUUAAUUUUACUUUAUAAUAGUACAAGCUUUUCUUUAAUUGCAAAACAUAACAUCGUUUCUUUUUCUAAUAGUUUAUUAGUUGUGUAAAUUUUUAGUAUUGUAAAUUGUGAAUUCCUUAGUCAAUUUAUACGUUUAUUCAAGAUUGCACUAUUUUUAUUUAAUUUAAAAAGAAUACUUAGUAUUUGAUUAGUAAAGUACAGAUUUUAUAGUAUUAAAUUGGAUAAAAAGUGACGAAUUAAAUUAUUGCUUUAAUUGUUAUAUUAAUAUGGACGUGGGUUCGAAUCCCACCAGCUCCA